UACGUAGGUAGCAAGCGUUAUUCGGAUUUACUGGGCGUAAAGGGUCCGCAGGGGGCCUGCCAAGUCUGAUGUGAAAUGCCACGGCUCAACCGUGGAACGGCAUUGGAAACUGGCGGGCUAGAGUGCAUGAGGGGUGAGCAGAAUUCCUGGUGUAGCGGUGGAAUGCGUAGAUAUCAGGAGGAAUACCGAUGGCGAAGGCGGCUCACUGGCGUGCAACUGACCCUCAGGGACGAAAGCGUGGGUAG
rnacentral:rRNA from 1 species